GUUGGUGAACCAGCGGAGGGAUCAUUACCGAGUUAUACAACUCAUCAACCCUGUGAACAUACCUAUAACGUUGCCUCGGCGGGAACAGACGGCCCCGUAACACGGGCCGCCCCCGCCAGAGGACCCCCUAACUCUGUUUCUAUAAUGUUUCUUCUGAGUAAACAAGCAAAUAAAUUAAAACUUUCAACAACGGAUCUCUUGGCUCUGGCAUCGAUGAAGAACGCAGCGAAAUGCGAUAAGUAAUGUGAAUUGCAGAAUUCAGUGAAUCAUCGAAUCUUUGAACGCACAUUGCGCCCGCCAGUAUUCUGGCGGGCAUGCCUGUUCGAGCGUCAUUACAACCCUCAGGCCCCCGGGCCUGGCGUUGGGGAUCGGCGGAAGCCCCCUGCGGGCACAACGCCGUCCCCCAAAUACAGUGGCGGUCCCGCCGCAGCUUCCAUUGCGUAGUAGCUAACACCUCGCAACUGGAGAGCGGCGCGGCCACGCCGUAAAACACCCAACUUCUGAAUGUUGACCUCGAAUCAGGUAGGAAUACCCGCUGAACUUAAGCAUAUCAAUAA
rnacentral:rRNA from 2 species